AGAGUUUGAUCCUGGCUCAGAACGAACGCUGGCGGCGUGCUUAACACAUGCAAGUCGAACGCGAAAGGGACUUCGGUCCUGAGUAAAGUGGCGCACGGGUGAGUAACGCGUGGAUAAUCUACCCGACGAUCUGGGAUAACAUCUCGAAAGGGGUGCUAAUACCGGAUAAGACCACGGAGUCUAUGGGCUUCGCGGUAAAAGGUGGGGACCUUCGGGCCUACCGUCAUCGGAUGAGUCCGCGUACCAUUAGCUAGUUGGUGGGGUAAGAGCCUACCAAGGCGACGAUGGUUAGCUGGUCUGAGAGGAUGAUCAGCCACACUGGAACUGAGACACGGUCCAGACUCCUACGGGAGGCAGCAGUGGGGAAUUUUGCGCAAUGGGGGAAACCCUGACGCAGCAACGCCGCGUGAGUGAUGAAGGCCUUCGGGUCGUAAAGCUCUGUCAGAGGGGAAGAAAUGUAGUGGUGCUAAUAUCAUCAUUACUUGACGGUACCCUCAAAGGAAGCACCGGCUAACUCCGUGCCAGCAGCCGCGGUAAUACGGAGGGUGCGAGCGUUGUUCGGAAUUAUUGGGCGUAAAGCGCGUGUAGGCGGUUUGGUAAGUCUGAUGUGAAAGCCCUGGGCUCAACCUGGGAAGUGCAUUGGAAACUGUCAGACUUGAAUACGGGAGAGGGUAGUGGAAUUCCUAGUGUAGGAGUGAAAUCCGUAGAUAUUAGGAGGAACACCGGUGGCGAAGGCGGCUACCUGGACCGAUAUUGACGCUGAGACGCGAAAGCGUGGGGAGCAAACAGGAUUAGAUACCCUGGUAGUCCACGCCGUAAACGAUGAGUACUAGGUGUUGCGGGUAUUGACCCCUGCAGUGCCGCAGCUAACGCAUUAAGUACUCCGCCUGGGAAGUACGGCCGCAAGGCUAAAACUCAAAGGAAUUGACGG
rnacentral:rRNA from 1 species